GCGGCAGUAGUGCAGCAGUAGGGCGGUCGACUCAUGAUCGUAAGAUUGCAGGUUCAAUUCCUGCCUUGCACG
rfam:Oryzias latipes DNA, chromosome22, strain: Hd-rR.